UACGUAGGGGGCAAGCGUUAUCCGGAAUUACUGGGUGUAAAGGGUGCGUAGGCGGUAAAGUAAGUUAGGUGUGAAAGCCCGGGGCUCAACCUCGGGACUGCACUUAAAACUGCUUUACUAGAAUACAGGAGAGGUAAGUGGAAUUCCUAGUGUAGCGGUGAAAUGCGUAGAUAUUAGGAGGAACACCAGUGGCGAAGGCGACUUACUGGACUGUGAUUGACGCUGAGGCACGAAAGCGUGGGGAGCGAAC
rnacentral:rRNA from 1 species